ensembl:snRNA U6 U6 spliceosomal RNA
GUGCUCACUUCAGCAGCACAUGUACUACAACUGGAAUAAUACAGAGAAGAUUAGCAUGGUCUCUGCAACAGGAUGGCACACAAAUUCAUGAAGCAUCCCAUAUUUUU